GCCGGAGGAUGCAAGUAUUAUCCGGAAUCACUGGGCGUAAAGCGUCUGUAGGUGGUCAAAUAAGUCAACUGUUAAAUCUUGAGGCUCAACCUCAAAAUCGCAGUCGAAACUAUUAGACUAGAGUAUAGUAGGGGUAAAGGGAAUUUCCAGUGGAGCGGUGAAAUGCGUAGAGAUUGGAAAGAACACCGAUGGCGAAGGCACUUUACUGGGCUAUUACUAACACUGAGAGACGAAAGCUAGGGUAGCAAAUGGG
rnacentral:rRNA from 1 species